AGAGUUUGAUCAUGGCUCAGGAUGAACGCUAGCUACAGGCUUAACACAUGCAAGUCGAGGGGCAGCAUGGUCUUAGCUUGCUAAGGCCGAUGGCGACCGGCGCACGGGUGAGUAACACGUAUCCAACCUGCCGUCUACUCUUGGACAGCCUUCUGAAAGGAAGAUUAAUACAAGAUGGCAUCAUGAGUCCGCAUGUUCACAUGAUUAAAGGUAUUCCGGUAGACGAUGGGGAUGCGUUCCAUUAGAUAGUAGGCGGGGUAACGGCCCACCUAGUCUUCGAUGGAUAGGGGUUCUGAGAGGAAGGUCCCCCACAUUGGAACUGAGACACGGUCCAAACUCCUACGGGAGGCAGCAGUGAGGAAUAUUGGUCAAUGGGCGAGAGCCUGAACCAGCCAAGUAGCGUGAAGGAUGACUGCCCUAUGGGUUGUAAACUUCUUUUAUAAAGGAAUAAAGUCGGGUAUGGAUACCCGUUUGCAUGUACUUUAUGAAUAAGGAUCGGCUAACUCCGUGCCAGCAGCCGCGGUAAUACGGAGGAUCCGAGCGUUAUCCGGAUUUAUUGGGUUUAAAGGGAGCGUAGAUGGAUGUUUAAGUCAGUUGUGAAAGUUUGCGGCUCAACCGUAAAAUUGCAGUUGAUACUGGAUAUCUUGAGUGCAGUUGAGGCAGGCGGAAUUCGUGGUGUAGCGGUGAAAUGCUUAGAUAUCACGAAGAACUCCGAUUGCGAAGGCAGCCUGCUAAGCUGCAACUGACAUUGAGGCUCGAAAGUGUGGGUAUCAAACAGGAUUAGAUACCCUGGUAGUCCACACGGUAAACGAUGAAUACUAGGUGUUGGGGGUCGAACCUCAGCGCCCAAGCUAACGCGAUAAGUAAUCCGCCUGGGGAGUACGUACGCAAGUAUGAAACUCAAAGGAAUUGACGGGGACCCGCACAAGCGGUGGAGCAUGUGGUUUAAUUCGACGCAACGCGAGGAACCUUACCAGCGUUUGACAUCCCAAGAAGUUAACAGAGAUGUUUUCGUGCCUCUUCGGAGGAACUUGGUGACAGGUGGUGCAUGGCUGUCGUCAGCUCGUGUCGUGAGAUGUUGGGUUAGUCCCGCACGAGCGCACCCCUUUCGUAUGUUACCAUCAUUAAGUUGGGGACUCAUGCGAGACUGCCUGCGAUGAGCAGGAGGAAGGUGGGGAUGACGUCAAGAAAUCAUGCCCCUUAUACGCUGGGCUACACACGUGCUACAAUGGGUAGUACAGAGAGUCGCAAACCUGCGAGGGGGAGCUAAUCUCAGAAAACUAUUCUCAGUUCGGAUUGUACUCUGCAACUCGAGUACAUGAAGUUGGAAUCGCUAGUAAUCGCAAAUCAGCUAUGUUGCGGUGAAUACGUUCUCGGGUCUUGUACACACCGCCCGU
rnacentral:rRNA from 1 species